rnacentral:rRNA from 1 species
AAUAUUGGACAAUGGGCGAAAGCCUGAUCCAGCCAUGCCGCGUGUGUGAAGAAGGUCUNCGGAUUNUNAAGCCCUUUAAGUUGGGNGGAUGGGCAGUAAGUUAAUGCCUUGCUGUUUUGACGUUACCGACAGAAUAAGCACCGGCUAACUUCGUGCCAGCAGCCGCGGUAAGACGAAGGGUGCAAGCGUUAAUCGGAAUUACUGGGCGUAAAGCGCGCGUAGGGGGUUUGGUAAGGUGGAGGUGAAAGCCCCGGGCUCAACCUGGGAACUGCUUUCAAAUAUGGCAAGCUAGAGUAUGGCAGAGGGUGGUGGAAUUUCCUGUGUAGCGGUGAAAUGCGUAGAUAUAGGAAGGAACAUCAGUGGCGAAGGCAACUACCUGGACUGAUACUGACACUGAGGUGCGAAAGCGUGGGGAGCAAACAGG